rnacentral:lncRNA from 10 species
CUCCCUGAGCUGGGACUAGCGAAAUCUGUCUGCACUGAUCGCAGUCGUCCUCAGUUUCACCCUCUAGGAAUCGGCCUGGGGAUGCACGUGCUACUCUCUUCCUCCAGGCCGGUCCCCGGCGCGUGCGCGCGAUCCAUGUCCAUGUCCGCGCCUAUCAAUAAAGUUGCUCACUUGUUGCCGGCCCGCUAGCCCGAAAGGUUGCGCGCGCAGCCCGAGAAGUCUCGCGAUAGCCAGCCGCGGCUGCCCUUGCGCUUCCCGAGCUGGCGGGGUCCGUGGUGCGGGAUCGAGAUUGCGGGCUAUGGCGCCGAAGGUUUUUCGUCAGUACUGGGAUAUCCCCGAUGGCACCGAUUGCCACCGCAAAGCCUACAGCACCACCAGUAUUGCCAGCGUCGCUGCCACAGGUUGGGACUCAUCAGGUCCCAGAUGGAGCUGGAAGUCCUCUUCCCUCUGAUGAAGAAUCUUUACAAACUGGGCCAGGCGCGGUGGCUCACACCUGUAAUCCGGCGCUCAGGAGGCCAAAGUGGGAGGAUCGCUUGAGGCCAGGAGUUCCAGACCAGCCUGGGCAAAAUAGCAAGAUCCCCAUCUCUGCAAAAAAGUAAAACAA